rnacentral:rRNA from 2 species
CGAACGCUGGCGGCAGGCUUAACACAUGCAAGUCGAGCGCCCCGCAAGGGGAGCGGCAGACGGGUGAGUAACGCGUGGGAACGUACCUUUUGCUACGGAAUAACUCAGGGAAACUUGUGCUAAUACCGUAUGUGCCCUUCGGGGGAAAGAUUUAUCGGCAAAGGAUCGGCCCGCGUUGGAUUAGCUAGUUGGUGAGGUAAAGGCUCACCAAGGCGACGAUCCAUAGCUGGUCUGAGAGGAUGAUCAGCCACACUGGGACUGAGACACGGCCCAGACUCCUACGGGAGGCAGCAGUGGGGAAUAUUGGACAAUGGGCGCAAGCCUGAUCCAGCCAUGCCGCGUGAGUGAUGAAGGCCCUAGGGUUGUAAAGCUCUUUCACCGGUGAAGAUAAUGACGU